UACGGUAAUUUUUGGGAGCUCGACGUUAUAACAAAUUCUUCAAGGAGAGCUCAGGAUGAGUCGGGAAUCAUUCCCAUUUUUAUGUAAUUAGCUAUCACACAUUGGCAAACCUAAUACUACAUACAGGGAAUGUAUUCUUCUGCUAAAUAUAGAACUUUUGGGAGACUGUUCGGGAUUUCCAAAGCGUCUGUAUGUUGUAUUCUUAAAGACUUUAGCCGAGGAGUGUGGGACCAGCUAUCAUCUAAAUAUUCAACCAGCUCAUUUCUCACGCAAGAAAAAAUAACGGAGUGCGUUGAAGGAUUUAGAAAGAUUGGAUUUCCACAAUGUCUGGGUGCAGUAGAAGAUUGCCAUAUUGAGAUUAGGCCCUCCGCAUCUGAUGCUGUUGACUAUUUCAACUACAAAGGUUGGUACUCAAUGGUUUUACAUGACCUCGUAUGCUACUGAUAUAGAUUUACACUAAUUAUUCAAUAUACAUUAAUGUUGGAGCACCUGGUCGUUGUAAUGAUUCUCAAAUAUUUGAAAAAUCCAACUUGAAAGUAUUUUGCAAAACCCUCUAUUUAAAGUGAAUGCGAAAAGAAUUGGUG